rnacentral:lncRNA from 1 species
AAAUAUGAAAUGUUGUUUGGGCGUUUUCAGUUGUACUCACAAAAUACUUGUUAACAUUUUAAAUAUUUAUUAUUUUCCUUAUAUACAUUUAUAUUAAUAUUUAUUUAACAAAAUCCUUUCGUCAAAACCUGUAUUAUAAGUAUCUUUCCAAAAGUUUUUAAAAAAUUAAGUUAUUCAUUCUCAUCUUUAUUUAUUGUAUGCUAUACGUUAUUUUUUUUGAAGUAUAUAUUAUAUUCAUGAAAUCUAACAUUAAGUUAUAUUGGUUUUAAUAAAUCAAAAAACAAUACACCAUUAUUUUAACUCAAGAACUAAUAAUCUUUAUUAACUACUUAACUUUGACAGAGAUAGUCCACACAUAAUAUACACAUACAACCAACCGAAAAAAUCCUUCUGGACAUUGCAACUAAAAAAAAUUAAUAGCCGUAAUUACUAGUGUAUAACUAACAUAUUAACUACCUUUAAAAAGACCAAAUUAACCAUAAGUAAAGAUUUCAUUUCAACAGAUGUUUUGCUCUUAAAAAAACGUAUCGAAAAGGUGUCCAGUCUACAAAAUGUCACUUUAAGUGCUUAAAGUGGUAUAUUUAUGUUUUAAAUGAUGAAAAAGAAAAGUGCAGGCUGAACAUUGCUUCGAUGGUUUUGCUUAUGCAAAAUGUAACCUGAUUCUGAAUUAAACAAUAAGUAAAAUUAAUUAAAUACCCUUAUGUUUGGUUAUUUUUAUGAAAAUUAAUGUGAAAUCUCUCUUUUUUUUUUUUUGCCUUGAACAAUAGGUGUUUCAGAAGGCCAUGGCAGAGACCGGUUGGAUUAAGCUUUAUGGUGAAGACCCAACUUUGGGUGAGACUAAGUUUGGCUGAGCCAUCUUUAUAGAGGUAGCAAGCAUUUGUAUAAGGAAGAAUGAUAUCAAUUCUUCUUAAUUUGCUUUAAGAAGAAUAACUGAAUUCCUCUUAAAACUAUUAUAUUCUUAAUUUGUUUAAUUUGUUUGACUGAUAUUCGUAUGUAUCCGGGUUGAGUGAAUAUAUAAGUGAAAAUUUGUUUUUCUUUGUAUUUCUACAUGCAUCAUUCUGACCCAUUCAAAGCGCGGACAUCAAUCCUUCUAAUUCUUAUUAUGGAUCAACCAUCAUUUCCGACAAACCAUACUAUACUAUUUUAUCGGCUAGUGACAAAUACAGAAUCCAUGAUAACACAAUGUCUGUUGCCCAGGUGGGCAAAACCCACGGCAAUCUGAAUCCCCUUCACAUCCGCGAUACUUGAUAUCUGUGCUUCGAGCUCUUCCUGUAUGAGUGACACUUGUUUUCGCCGAUUUAUCAACUAUGACUCCUAGUGCUGCAAUAAUACACAAAAACUAAUAUUAUGAACUAUUUUGCAUUCUUCAUAAGUUUAGGAAACUUGCAAUGAGCAUAAUAACAGGAGUGAAAAAAGGAGAAUAACCGCAAGUAUUAAGGACUAAUAUGGCCAAGAAAACAAAUUUGAGCACAAGUUUCGUCAUUGACUACUUGAAUUUAGUUGGGUAACUAAUCACGUACUAACCACCGAUAUUGUCAAAAAAGUAGAAUAUGAAGGAAAACAAUGGAUUUUUGAAUCAUUUAUAAGAUGUUUAUUUAGAAUAUUNCUUUAUUUUUAUUAAUUAUUUUUAAUAGGCCGGGACAGAAACUUUCGUUAUAAAUUCAUAACUUCUUCGUUUGACGUCCGUUCUCGCCUAACUUUUUAUCGUUUCAAUACCAACAAUGAGAUCUUCGAUUCUCAUUUAGAUUGCUUCGGCUAACAACCGCUCGAUCUCAAAUCGAGUAAAACAGGCUGUAUACCGCUAAGCCGGAACUUCGAUAAAUCAUAACUUCCUCAUACGAAGUCAGAUUUGGGCGUUCUAUAUAUAUUCGGAAACCUCGUUUCAACUACUACAACAUUAACCAAAGAUAUUAAGUUUAUUUUACACUUAAAUUUUGACGCUUAUUUUUAUUCUUAAUUAAUCAAACCACAUAAUUAAGCAAUUAAGCACAAAACACAUAAUACUCAAAUAAUACAAUCUUAUUAUUUCAAAACGGGUUACAAAGGUUAACCUAGACCAUUACAUUGCUAAAAGUGGCAAGCCCGGAAACACAGGCGUUACAAGAACUAAUAAUCUUUAUUAACUAUUUAACUUUGACAGAGAUAAUCCACACAUAAUAUACACAUACAACCAACCAAAAAAAUCCUUCUGGACAUUGCAAUAAAAAAAAUUAAUAGCCAUAAUUACUAGUGUAUAACUAACUGAUUAACUAUCUUUGAAAAGACCAAAUUAACCAUCAGUCAAGCUUUCAUUUCAACAGGUGUUUUGCUCUUAAAAAAACAUAUCGAAAAGGUGCCCAGUCUACAAAAUGUCACUUUAAGUGUUUAAAGUCUACAAAAUGUCACUUUAAGUGUUUAAAGUGGCAUCUUUAUGUUUUGAAUUAUGACAAACAAAAGUGCAGGCUGAACAUUGCUUCGAUGGUUUAGCUUAUGCAAAAUGUAACUUAAUUCUGAAAUAAACAAUAAGUAAAAUUACUUAUAUACUUAACUUUGACAAAGAUAGUCCACACAUAAUAUACACAUACAAUCAACCGAAAAAAUCCUUCUGGACAUUGCAACUAAAAAAAAUUAAUNNNNNNNNNNNNNNNNNNNNNNNNNNNNNNNNNNNNNNNNNNNNNNNNNNNNNNNNNNNNNNNNNNNNNNNNNNNNNNNNNNNNNNNNNNNNNNNNNNNNAUAUACCCUUAUGUUUGGUUAUUUUUAUGAAAAUUCAUGUGAAAUUUAUUUUUUUUGCCUUGAACAAUAGGUGUUUCAGAAGGCCAUGGCAGAGACCGGUUAGAUUAAGCUUUAUGGUGAAGACCCAACUUUGGUUGAGACUAAGUUUGGCUUAGCCAUCUUUAUAGAGGUAGCAAGCAUUUGUAUAAAGAAGAAUGAUAUCAAUUCUUCUUAAUUUGCUUUAAGAAGAAUAACUGAAUUCUUCUUAAAACUAUUAUAUUCUUAAUUUGUUUAAUUUGUUUGACUGAUAUUCGUAUGUAUCCGGGUUGAGUGAAUAUAUAAGUGAAAAUUUGUUUUUCUUUGUAUUUCUACAUGCAUCAUUCUGACCCAUUCAAAGCGCGGACAUCGAUCCUUCUAAUUCUUAUUAUGGAUCAACCAUCAUUUCCGACAAACCAUACUAUACUAUUUUAUCGGCUACUGACAAAUACAAAAUCCAUGAUAACACAAUGUCUGUUGCCCAGGUGGGCAAAACCCACGACAAUCAGAAUCCCCUUCAUAUCCGCGAUACUUGAUAUCUGUGCUGCGAGCUCUACCUGUAUGAGUGACACUUGGUUUCGCCGAUUUAUCAACUACGACUCCUAGUGCUGCAAUAAUACACAAAAACUAAUAUUAUGAACUAUUUUGCAUUCUUCAUAAGUUUAGGAAACUUGCAAUGAGCAUAAUCACAGGAGAGAAAAAAGGAGAAUAACCGCAAGUAUUAAGGACUAAUAUGGCGAAGAAAAUAAAUUUGAGCACAAGUUUCGUCAUUGACUACUUGAAUUUAGUUGGGUAAUUAAUCACGUACUAACCACCAAUAUUAUCAUAAAUGUAGACUAUGAAGGAAAACAAUGGAUUUUUGAAUCAUUUAUAGGAUGUUUAUUUAGAAUAUUUUCAGAAUAUGAAUUGUUCCCAAGCUAACUAGCCAUAUNAUAUACAUCCGGUAACCAUUGUUUUCGUUUUCUAGUGAAUCGUCAUUUUUAUGUGAAAAGAUUCCUUCUCACAAAUUGACAGCACUGAUUCUUAUGCAUGGGCAAGAUGUGUGUGAGACAACCCUCAACAAUAAGAUCUUAGUUUUUAAAAUAUGAAAUGUUGUUGGGGCAUUUUCAGUUGAAGUCACAAAAUACUUGUUAACAUUUUAAAUAUUUAUUAUUUUCCUUAUAUAUUUUUUUUGUUAAUAUUUAUUUAACAAAAUCGUUUCGUCAAAACCUUUAUUAUAAGUAUCUUUCCAAAAGUUUUUUAAAAAUUAAGUUAUUCAUUCUCAUCGUUGUUUAUUGUAUGCUAUAAAGUUGUGUUAUUAUAUACGUUAUUUUUUUUGAAGUAUAUAUUAUAUUAAUGAAAUCUAACGUUAAGUUAUAUUGGUUUUAAUAAAUAAAAAAACAAUACACCAUUAUUUUUACUCAAGAACUAAUAAUCUUUAUUAACUACUUAACUUUGACAGAGAUAAUCCACACAUAAUAUACACAUACAACCAACCGAAAAACUCCUUCUGGACAUUGCAACUAAAAAAAAUUAAUAUCCAUACUUACUAGUGUAUAACUAACAGAUUAACUAUCCUUGAAAAGACCAAAUUAACCAUAAGUCAAACUUUCAUUUCAACAGAUGUUUUGCUCUUAAAAAAACAUAUCGAAAAGGUGCCCAGUCUACAAAAUGUCACUUUAAGUGUUUAAAGUGGCAUAUUUAUGUUUUAAAUUAUGACAAAGAAAAGUGCAGGCUGAACAUUGCUUCGAUGGUUAAGCUUAUGCAAAAUGUAACCUGAUUCUGAAUUAAACAAUAAGUAAAAUUACUUAUAUACCCUUAUGUUUGGUUAUUUUUAUGAAAAUUAAUGUGAAAUCUGUUUUUUUUUGGCUUGAACAAUAAGUGUUUCAGAAGGCCAUGGUAGAGACCGUUUAGAUUAAGCUUUAUGCAGAAGACCCAACUUUGGUUGAGACUAAGUUUGGCUGAGACUUGAAUAGGAGUUUACGGCCAAGGAUGGUGUUUAGGCCGUAAACUCAUAAAUAUAGGGUUUUUAAGCCCUUAAACCCUUCCAAAACCACAACAAGACAUGGAUAUGACUUCUAGAAUAAUUUCUUUAGCCUUGGAACACUUUAAACAUAAUUUUUGGGAGACUUAUGUGAGUUUACGGCCAAGGCAUGUGCUUGGGCCGUAAACUCCUUGAAACAUGGUAUAAAUUCAAUUUCAAGGUGUUAGAAAGCCAUCCAACACCACCAAAAGCCUUGGAAUAAAUCAUAGGACCAACCAAAAAUAGUUUAAGGACCUUAAACACAUUAUUUGAGGGAUUUAUAUGAGUUUACGGCCAAGGCUUGUGCUUGGGCCGUAAACUCCUUGAUUCAUGGUGUUAGAAUGCAACCUAAACACCCCUAAAGCUUUUAGGUGAAUUUUAGAAGUCCUUUCAAACACGUUCUUGGCUUUAAAACAUCUUGAAUCACCCUAUAGAAGAGUUUACGGCCAUGAGGGGGGUCUUAUGGGCCAUAAACUCCAAAAACACCCCAUAAGAUUCAUAAAAUUUUAUGUAGAGCCUUGGAAUAAUUUUUACAAUCACAUGUGACUUUCUUGGAAUCCAAAAACACAAUUUUUCAUGGGUUUAUAGGAGUUUACGUCCAUGAGCCUUAUGCUAGGCCGUAAACUCCCUUAAAUGGGUCUAUUUGAUUUUUAAAAAUCAUUCCAAAUCCUUAAGCCAAAUUCUAAAUUAUUCCCUAAGUAUUUGAAGUCAUUUUGCACCAUAAACUACNNNNNNNNNNNNNNNNNNNNNNNNNNNNNNNNNNNNNNNNNNNNNNNNNNNNNNNNNNNNNNNNNNNNNNNNNNNNNNNNNNNNNNNNNNNNNNNNNNNNGUAUGUGUCUGGGUUGAGUGAAUAUAUAAGUGAAAAUUUGUUUUUGUUUGUAUUUCUGCAUGCAUCAUUCUGACCCAUUCAAAGCGUGGACAUUGAUCCUUCUAAUUCUUAUUAUGGAUCAACCAUCAUUUCCGACAAACCAUACUAUACUAUUUUAUCGGCUACUGACAAAUACAAAAUCCAUGAUAACACAAAGUUUGUUGCCGAGGUGGGCAAAACCCACGGCAAUCAGAAUCCCCUUCACAUCCGCGAUACUUGAUAUCUGUGCUGCGAGCUCUUCCUGUAUGAGUGACACUUGGUUUCGCCGAUUUAUCAACUACGACUCCUAGUGCUGCAAUAAUACACAAAAACUAAUAUUAUGAACUAUUUUGCAUUCUUUAUAAGUUUAGGAAACUUGCAAUGAGCAUAAUCACAGGAGUGAAAAAAGGAGAAUAACCGCAAGUAUUAAGGACUAAUAUGGCCAAGAAAACAAAUUUGAGCACAAGUUUCGUCAUUGACUACUUGAAUUUAGUUGGGUAACUAAUCACGUACUAACCACCNACUAACCACCAAUAUUAUCAUAAAAGUAGACUAUGAAGGAAAACAAUGGAUUUUUGAAUCAUUUAUAGGAUGUUUAUUUAGAAUAUUUUCAGAAUAUGAAUUGUUCCCAAGCUAACUAGCCAUAUACAUCCAGUAACCAUUGUUUUCGUCUUCUAGUGAAUCGUCAUUUUUAUGUGAAAAGAUUCCUUCUCACAAAUUGACAGCACUGAUUCUUAUGCAUGGGCAAGAUGUGUGUGAGACAACCCUCAACAAUAAGAUGUUAGUUUUUAAAAUGUUGUUGGGGCAUUUUCAAUUGAACUCACAAAAUACUUGUUAACAUUUUAAAUAUUUAUUAUUUUCCUUAUAUACAUUUUUAUUAAUAUGUAUUUAACAAAAUCCUUUCGUCAAAACCUGUAUUAUCAGUAUCUUUCCAAAAGUAUUUAAAAAAUUAAGUUAUUUAUUCUCAUCGUUAUUUAUUGUAUGCUAUAAAGUCGUCUUAUUAUAUACGUUAUUUUUUUUGAAGUAUAUACUAUAUUCAUGAAAUCUAUCAUUAAGUUAUAUUGGUUUUAAUAAAUAAAAAAACAAUACACCAUUAUUUUAACUCAAGAACUAAUAAUCUUUAUUAACUACUUAACUUUGACAGAGAUAAUCCACACAUAAUAUACACAUACAACCAACCGAAAAAAUCCUUCUGGACAUUUCAACUAAAAAAAAUUAAUAGCCAUAAUUACUAGUGUAUAACUAACAGAUUA